AUGUUCCUGUAAAGUCUACAAGGUUUCUUUUGGACGCUCGAUGCCCUGGAGAUUGGUUUUGUCUAAAUGAUGGACAGUGUGUUAAUCAUCAUUGCAGUUGCGCACAGGGUUUUUAUGGAGAUUACUGUGGAAAAAAUGAUCCUUGUCAUGGCGUAACCUGUCAGCAUGGUGGACACUGCACUUCCGGUAGCUGUACUUGUGUAUCUGGUUAUACUGGUCAGCAUUGCGAGAGAC